CUUUAUUUUUCAACAAGUUGUUUUAGAACGUUAUGUAUGAUAAAAAUCAACUAACUAAUUUGUUAUAUUUUCAGGUCAUGUAAUGAUGGAGUCCACAAAAAUGAUACUGUGGGCACCAGCGAGGAACAAUGUACUUCGGCUGAUAGCAGUUCGAAAGGAGUUACCCAGACACCCAAAGAAAACAGCGAAGAAACAGAUGCUAUGGUAAUUCUACUCAAACUCAUGUCAGUAGCAGUUCUAGCAACUCAUCAACUGAUUCUUCAGACUCAUCAUCAUCUGAUUCGGAAUCCUUUUGUGAAGAUAGCAACGACUCUAUCUGAAAGGACUCUAUCUAUAUAAGGAUCCAAUGUACAUACCGCCCGAAAACCCAAGUCAAAACAACCACGAUGAGUUACCUGCCGACGAAGAAAACGAAAUGUUGUCUGUCUUUGAUAGCUCUAUACAAAAUUUGCCCUCGACCUCGGCUCCAAAUACGACUAAUACUUCUGCAAGGCCGUCUACUUCCAGAGAAGGGAGAAUCCCAACAAGCCCUGCUGUGAGUCCUGAAAAAAAGAGAGGAAGAAAACGCAAGCGUGAUGAAGCACAAUGGAAGAAAAAUAUUGCCAAAAGAUUACGAAACACAGGAAAAGCUUAUCAGACUACAAAAAAGAAGAUCAGAGGGGAGAGAAAAAUUAAAGAACCUUGUGGAGAAAAAUGUAGACUGAAAUGUGGGUCUAAAUUCACGGAAGAAGAAAGAAAAACAUUGUUUGAAAACUUUUGGGCAUUGGGUGACAAUAAAAAACAAUGGGAAUAUAUUUCAAGGAGCAUGACUGUUAUUACUCCAAAAUACCGAUACGUCCGUGAAGGUGGAACGAGAAAACCUCGACAAAAAAAUAGUGCAUUCCAUCUGAAAUUACCCAACAAAACAAUAAGGGUGUGCAAAAUGUUCUUUAAAAACACCCUAUGCAUCAAUGACCGUCCAAUUCAAACUGUUUUGGAGAAACAAGAUAAAGUUGACACCACGCACACGUCGAUGAAGCCAUAAAAAAAGGAAUAAGGGAGCACAUAGAAUCUAUUCCCAAGAUAGAAUCCCAUUACACUCGUGCUAAUACUAGCAAAGUUUAUAUAGAUGGCAGCAAAAGCAUCGCAGACAUACACAAAGAUUAUGUUGAAAGCAAAAAAAAGCAAAAUCUUCCUUUUGGCA